rnacentral:rRNA from 1 species
CGCGCAGGUGGUUCCCUAAGCCCGGCGUGAAAGCCCCCGGCUCAACCGGGGAGGGUCGUCGGGGACUGGAGAACUUGAGGGCGGCAGGGGCUGGUGGAAUCCCCGGUGUAGUGGUGAAAUGCGUAGAGAUCGGGGGGAACACCCGUGGCGAAGGCGGCCAGCUGGGCCGACCCUGACACUGAGGCGCGAAGGCGUGGGGAGCGAACG